GAUGAAGAACGCAGCGAAAUGCGAUAAGUAGUGUGAAUUGCAGAAUUCAGUGAAUCAUCGAGUCUUUGAACGCACAUUGCGCCCCCUGGUAUUCCGGGGGGCAUGCCUGUCCGAGCGUCAUUGCUGCCCUCAAGCACGGCUUGUGUGUUGGGCCCCCGUCCCCCCCUCCCGGGGGACGGGCCCGAAAGGCAGCGGCGGCACCGCGUCCGGUCCUCGAGCGUAUGGGGCUUUGUCACCCGCUCUGUAGGCCCGGCCGGCGCCUGCCGACCACCAUCAAUCUUUUCAGGUUGACCUCGGAUCAGGUAGGGAUACCCGCUGAACUUAAGCAUAUCAAUAAGCGGAGGA
rnacentral:misc_RNA from 1 species